AGACUGGCGAGAAGACAUCAUGAUAUAAAAUCUGUUAGUGGCCGGGCGCAGUGGCUCAAGCCUGUAAUCCCAACACUUUGGGAGGCCGAGGCGGGCGGAUCACAAGGUCAAGAGAUCGAGACCAUCCUGGCCAACAUGGUGAAACCCCAUCUCUACUAAAAAUACGAAAAUUAGCUGGGUGUGGUGGCGCGCGCCUGUAGUCCCAGCUACUCGGGAGGCUGAGGCAGGAGAAUCGCUUGAACCGGGGAGGCGGAGGCUGCAGUGAGACGAGAUCGCGUCACUGAACUCCAGCCUGGCGACAGAGCUAGACUCCGUCUCAAAAAAAAAAUCUGUUAUUAAUAGUAUAUAGUAAAAAAAUUAUCCCUGCCUCGUAAAACUAAGAAUUGAAAAAUAGCCAGAAGCUAUUGGAGCUUUCCUCCCCGCAGUGGGCUUCGAAACAUAAGUUGCAUUACAGAAAGGAAGUAGAAAUUACAACCACACUUCAGGAAUUGUUACUCUACUUUAUUUUUUUAAUAAACCUAUGUAUAUAAAGAACCAACUUUAAGUCCAUUCGCAGCAUAACUGAUUUUUGGAAGUUUAUGGAAGGACCCCUUUUGGAAGGUCUGUACUGGGAUUCAUGGUACAAUAACCAGCAGCUGUAUAAUUUAAAGAACAGCAGUCGCAUCUACUAUGAAAAUAUACUUCUAGGAGUUCCCAGAGUUCGUCAACUAAAAGUCCGCAACAACACAUGCAAAGUCUAUUCAUCUUUUCAGUCUUUGAUGAGUGAAUGUUAUGGCAAAUAUACUUCUGCAAAUGAAGACCUCUCUAAUUUUGGCCUUCAAAUUAAUACU
rnacentral:lncRNA from 10 species